UAUUUUCUUCGGGGAGGGGUGAAAUUCCCUACCGGCGGUAUAGCCCGCGAGCCUUGGAAAAAGGCUGAACUGGUGUAAUUCCAGUGCCGACAGUCAGAGUCUGGAUGGGAGAAGCAAUAU
rnacentral:ncRNA from 2 species